CGAAGGGUGCAAGCGUUAGUCGGAAUUACUGGGCGUAAAGCGUGCGUAGGUGGUUUCUUAAGUCCGUUGUGAAAGCCCUGGGCUCAACCUGGGAACUGCAGUGGAUACUGAGAGGCUAGAGUGUGUCAGAGGAUGGUGGAAUUCCCGGUGUAGCGGUGAAAUGCGUAGAGAUCGGGAGGAACAUCAGUGGCGAAGGCGGCCAUCUGGGACAACACUGACGCUGAGGCACGAAAGCGUGGGAGCAAACAGGAUU
rnacentral:rRNA from 1 species